CGAACGGGUGAGUAACGCGUGAGGAACCUGCCUCAAAGAGGGGGACAACAGUUGGAAACGACUGCUAAUACCGCAUAAGCCCACGGCUCGGCAUCGAGCAGAGGGAAAAGGAGCAAUCCGCUUUGAGAUGGCCUCGCGUCCGAUUAGCUAGUUGGUGAGGUAACGGCCCACCAAGGCAACGACCGGUAGCCGGACUGAGAGGUUGAACGGCCACAUUGGGACUGAGACACGGCCCAG
rnacentral:rRNA from 1 species